AGAGUUUGAUUCUGGCUCAGAUUGAACGCUGGCGGCAUGCCUAACACAUGCAAGUCGAACGGCAGCACGGUUCUGGUUUACCAGAAUGGGUGGCGAGUGGCGGACGGGUGAGUAAAGCAUAGGAAUCUGCCGAUAAGAGGGGGAUAACUGAGGGAAACUUCAGCUAAUACCACAUAAUGUCUACGGACCAAACGCAGGGGAUCUAGAGAUAGACCUUGCGCUUAUUGAGGAGCCUAUGUCGGAUUAGCUAGUUGGUAGGGUAAAGGCCUACCAAGGCGAAGAUCUGUAGCUGGUCUGAGAGGAUGGCCAGCCACACUGGGACUGAGACACGGCCCAGACUCCUACGGGAGGCAGCAGUGGGGAAUAUUGGACAAUGGGGGCAACCCUGAUCCAGCAAUGCCGCGUGAGUGAAGAAGGCCUUAGGGUUGUAAAGCUCUUUUGUAGGGGAGGAAAGGGCUUGUGUGAAUAACACGAGCCUAUGACGUUACCCUAAGAAUAAGCACCGGCUAACUCUGUGCCAGCAGCCGCGGUAAUACAGAGGGUGCGAGCGUUAAUCGGAAUGACUGGGCGUAAAGGGUGCGUAGGUCGUUUGUUAAGUUAGCUGUGAAAUCCCUGGGCUUAACCUGGGAAUUGCAGCUAAAACUGAUGAACUCGAGUAGGUGAGAGGAGUGUGGAAUUUCCGGUGUAGCGGUGAAAUGCGUAGAGAUCGGAAAGAACACCGGUGGCGAAGGCGGCACUCUGGUACCAUACUGACACUGAGGCACGAAGGCGUGGGGAGCAAACAGGAUUAGAUACCCUGGUAGUCCACGCAGUAAACGAUGAGAACUGGAUGAGGGAGGGGUUAAACCCUUCCGUAUCGAAGCUAACGCGUUAAGUUCUCCGCCUGGGGAGUACGGCCGCAAGGUUAAAACUCAAAGAAAUUGACGGGGGCCCGCACAAGCGGUGGAGUAUGUGGUUUAAUUCGAUGCAACGCGAAGAACCUUACCUGGUCUUGACAUGUCAGAAAUCUUACAGAGAUGUGGGAGUGCCUUCGGGAAUCUGAACACAGGUGCUGCAUGGCUGUCGUCAGCUCGUGUCGUGAGAUGUUGGGUUAAGUCCCGCAACGAGCGCAACCCUUAUUUUUAAUUGCCAUCAUUAAGUUGGGAACUUUAAAGAGACUGCCGGUGAUAAGCCGGAGGAAGGUUAGGAUGACGUCAAGUCCUCAUGGCCCUUAUGACCAGGGCUACACAUGUACUACAAUGGAUGUGACAGAGGGAAGCGAAGCCGCGAGGUGAAGCUAAGCUCAGAAAAGCAUUCGUAGUCCGGAUUGGAGUCUGCAACUCGACUCCAUGAAGUUGGAAUCGCUAGUAAUCGCGGAUCAGAAUGCCGCGGUGAAUACGUUCCCGGGCCUUGUACACACCGCCCGUCACACCAUGGGAGUGGGUUGUACCAGAAGCGGGUAGGCUAACCGAAAGGAGGCCGCUCACCACGGUAUGAUUCAUGACUGGGGUGAAGUCGGAACAAGGUA
rnacentral:rRNA from 1 species